UACGUAGGGACCAAGCGUUGUUCGGAUUUACUGGGCGUAAAGGGCGCGUAGGCGGCUUAACAAGUCACUUGUGAAAUCUCCGGGCUUAACUCGGAACGGCCAAGUGAAACUGUCAAGCUAGAGUGCAGAAGGGGCAAUCGGAAUUCUUGGUGUAGCGGUGAAAUGCGUAGAUAUCAAGAGGAACACCUGAGGUGAAGACGGGUUGAUGGGCUGACACUGACGCUGAGGCGCGAAAGCCAGGGGAGCAAACGGG
rnacentral:rRNA from 1 species